CAGAGAGAGUAGUUUGCUGUAUGCGAUGAGAGGCCUCGCAUGAAGAGAUAUAGAGGUCACUGCAGCCAAGGAUGACUUGCCGGCAUUGUUGAAAAAUAAGACUUCCUUCUUCGAUGCGUUUCGAAUUCCUCCGGCUCCGGCAAGUUGUUCUUGGCUACAUAGGGCUCUUUUCUCUAUCAUGCGAGGCUGACUUGUCGAUAACAGACCUAGAAACUAGAGAGCUCGAAACGCCCUUUGUUCGAAGAGGGCAAAUUUUCAGGGAUGUCACGUUUCACCAUUUUAUUGUUGCGAGGUCGAUGUGCCUUGCAUGAAGAGGCGGAGAGUUUAGUGCAGCCAAGGAUGACUUGCCGGAAUUAGUUAACCAACCAGAGGACGGGUUCCGCUUUUUUCGGCAAGUUUGUCCUUGGCUACAUUGAGCUCUCUUCUUCUCAUGCGAGGCCCUGGAACUAGAACCAUCUUCUCUUUUUCGGCACAAGCUUUUGGGAGUCUCACGUUUCUCUGCAAGUUGCCGAAAGGUCGUCGAUCAACCGGACAUGACGGGAUAAAAAGGAAAUGCAAUCUUUCUUUUCAUGAAAGCGGUCUUAUCCAUCAUUUUGGGAUCAAAAUCUGGAGAUGGUACAUCGAAUUUUAUUUGAUCUUUUCAUUGUGUUAUUCAUGCAUUAUUUGGGCAAAUAUUGAAAAUAAGAUGUAAUUUCGCUGCUUGCACCUUUAUAUAAUUAACCUUCCUAUAAGUGUAUAGGGACAUCACGUGGAGGAAGGUUUGGAGUCGGCGCAAAUUAAUAUGAACAUUUGGCAUUCAAGUAUAUCUUUCAGUCGAGAAACCCCAUCGGAUUCGCCACCUGGGCUUCUGGAUUCGGGGCGAUUUGCGUAUCAUCCUUUUUCCGACAUGUGAUGACAACAAUGGCCAAUCAUCAGAACAGCGCAGACAGGUUAAAGUUUGGGUGCAUAUGUUGAUAGCACAACGCUAUUAAUGGCAAAUGAGGCGGAGUACUUAUUGGAAGCAGAUGGCCACAUUUAUCUACUUUCGCUUUGAUGUAGUAAAAUUUGCCGAAGUCUACUAUCUUGUAUAGAGGAAACGGUAUUACAUUGUCAGCACUAGGGAACUAGUGUUUUCUGUAUUAAUAUGUAGUUCUUCAUCAUGUGAAUAGACAAUAAUUAUUCUACAUUAUUUA